CCGAAAGAUACUGAAGAGUUGGCCUUCUGUAUCCAUGAGUUCCAUAUGAGUGGAUUCAACCAACUGUAGAUUUUUUACAGUCCAGAGAUGUCUUUCUCAAGUACCUGGAAGCCAGCUCUUUGAAAUGUAACAUCAAGAAUACAGUGCUCCAUUAUGGAAAACAGUAUGGAAGUUCCUCAAAAAUUUAAACAUAGAACUACCAUCUGACUCAGCAAUCCCAUUUCUGGGUACAUAUCCAGAGGAAAUAAAAUCAUAUUCCCAAAAAAUAGUUGCACUCCCAUGUACAUUGCACCAUUAUUCACAUAGCCAAGAUAAAGAACAGCCUAACAGGUGAAUGGAUUAAAUAAUGUGAGAUGUAUAUG
rnacentral:lncRNA from 1 species